rnacentral:rRNA from 1 species
GAAUCCCGUCUUUGACACGGACUACCUGUACAUUAUGGUGUGCUCUCGAAGAGUCGAGUUGUCUGGGAAUGCAGCUCAAAAUGGGUGGUAAAUGCCAUCUAAAGCUAAAUAUUGGCGAGAGACCGAUAGCGAACAAGUACCGUGAGGGAAAGAUGAAAAGCACUUUGGAAAGAGAGUUAAACAGUACGUGAAAUUGCUGAAAGGGAAACGCUUAAAGUCAGUCGCGUUGGCUGGAAAUCAGCCCUUGCUUUUGCUUGGUGUAUUUUCUGGUCGACGGGUCAGCAUCAAUUUCGACCAUUGGAUAAAGUCAUUGGGAAUGUGGCAUCUUUUGGAUGUGUUAUAGCCCAUUGUUGUAUACGGUGGUUGGGAUUGAGGAACUCAGCAUGCCCGCGAGGGCCAGGUUUCGACCAUGUUUCAUGCUUAGGAUGCUGGCAUAAUGGCUUUAAUCGACCCGUCUUGAAACACGGACCAAGGAGUCUAACAUGCCUGCGAGUGUUUGGGUGGAAAACCCAUGCGCGCAAUGAAAGUGAAAGUUGAGAUCCCUGUUAGAGGGGAGCAUUGACGCCCGGACCAGAGCUUUUGUGACGGAUCCGCGGUAGAGCAUGUAUGUUGGGACCCGAAAGAUGGUGAACUAUGCCUGAAUAGGGUGAAGCCAGAGGAAACUCUGGUGGAGGCUCGUAGCGAUUCUGACGUGCAAAUCGAUCGUCAAAUUUGGGUAUAGGGGCGAAAGACUAAUCGAACCAUCUAGUAGCUGGUUCCUGCC